AUGAAUAUCUCAGUGCAGAUUCUGAAAAAGCCAAACAUUUCAGAUGACGCUCAAGCAUCUAAUACAGUAGUGGCUACAGUGAGUCAGCUCUUGGAUGCCAAGGAAAUGGAAUUCAGCAGUGAUCUUGUCAAUGUUACAUCAAGCCUCACAAAAACGAUUGAAGAAUUUUCUUUGAUGAGCAACAUCACUCAGACCAACAUUGCAGUCCAGUCUGUCCCACUGAUGUUGAACUCCUCUGCAAUUCUGUUUUUGGCACAGAGAGGUAAGCCUGGAUGUGUUGUUGGAUUUACCAGCAAAAGCAGGUGUGUGCCAUAA
rnacentral:lncRNA from 1 species